rnacentral:rRNA from 1 species
GCAGAGGGGGCUUAGUGGUGGGGUGACUGCGUACCUUUUGUAUAAUGGGUCAGCGACUUAUAUUCUGUAGCAAGGUUAACCGAAUAGGGGAGCCGGAGGGAAACCGAGUCUUAACCGGGCGUUAAGUUGCAGGGUAUAGACCCGAAACCCGGUGAUCUAGCCAUGGGCAGGUUGAAGGUUGGGUAACACUAACUGGAGGACCGAACCGACUAAUGUUGAAAAAUUAGCGGAUGACCUGUGGCUGGGGGUGAAAGGCCAAUCAAACCGGGAGAUAGCUGGUUCUCCCCGAAAGCUAUUUAGGUAGCGCCUCGUGAAUUCAUCUCCGGGGGUAGAGCACUGUUUCGGCUAGGGGGCCAUCCCGGCUUACCAACCCGAUGCAAACUGCGAAUACCGGAGAAUGUUAUCACGGGAGACACACGGCGGGUGCUAACGUCCGUCGUGAAGAGGGAAACAACCCAGACCGCCAGCUAAGGUCCCAAAGUCAUGGUUAAGUGGGAAACGAUGUGGGAAGGCCCAGACAGCCAGGAUGUUGGCUUAGAAGCAGCCAUCAUUUAAAGAAAGCGUAAUAGCUCACUGGUCGAGUCGGCCUGCGCGGAAGAUGUAACGGGGCUAAACCAUGCACCGAAGCUGCGGCAGCGACGCUGAUGCGUUGUUGGGUAGGGGAGCGUUCUGUAAGCCUGCGAAGGUGGCCUGUGAGGGUUG